CCUACGGGUGGCAGCAGUGAGGAAUAUUGGUCAAUGGACGCAAGCCUGAACCAGCCAUGCCGCGUGCAGGAAGACGGCCCUAUGAGUUGUAAACUGCUUUUGUACGAGGGUAAAUCCCGAUACGUGUAUCGGGUUGAAAGUAUCGUGCGAAUAAGGAUCGGCUAACUCCGUGCCAGCAGCCGCGGUAAUACGGAGGAUUCAAGCGUUAUCCGGAUUUAUUGGGGUUAAAGGGUGCGUAGGCGGUUCGAUAAGUUAGAGGUGAAAUCCCGGGGCUCAACUCCGGCACUGCCUCUGAUACUGUCAGGCUAGAGUUUAGUUGCGGUAGGCGGAAUGUAUGGUGUAGCGGUGAAAUGCAUAGAGAUCAUACAGAACACCGAUUGCGAAGGCAGCUUACCGGACUACGACUGACGUUGAGGCACGAAAGCGUGGGGAGCAAACAGGAUUAGAUACCCCAGUAGUC
rnacentral:rRNA from 1 species